GGUGCAAAGGAUAUCGCCAAUCUUACAGAUACCAUUGAAUGGACUUGAAGCUGUUCUCCAGGAGGUGAAACUAGCACAAGGAGACAAAGCUUACCUCACCCUGGCAUGCCAAGACACACCUUGGCAUGCCAUGCAAGUGCUUUGAAGCCAUUGUGUCUGACCCAGUUUCUGGGAAGAAGACUCACUUUGCUUGGCUGGAUGGUGAGAUCCACUGGGGUAAAUUUUCAGAGUCAAUCAAGGCAGAAAAUCGGAUUCCUUUUGCGGUUAAAACGUGUUCUUCCUGCAACCGGCAAUAUAAAGACUGUGUGGGCUUCACUGGAAAUGGAAGACGAGGAGAGUACCCUCGUUACUACUGUGA